GUUAACUCUCUACGAAUUCCCCGAAGUAUUCUUUACUUAUUUAUACUUUUUUUUUGUUUUUUUAUGUGAAAAAAUGAUUAUUUUUUUCCUGGAAACGGUAUUUUCGCUUACGAAAAUAGUUAAUUAAAACUGAUAAAUUUAAUUUUGCAAAACUGUUGCAUAUAUAUAUGUUGAUUCCAUUUGCGCAUGUACUGGGAUGAUAACUCCGGUGAUGGAUUUAAGCCAAUUGUUUAAAUUCCUUACUCUAAUUGGCUUGUUUGGGCUAUCUGAUCUUUCAUUCAUUACAUUAUUUUUUUUUUAUUUUAAUUAUUUUUAACCGAAAAAUUCUAUUUAUAUGCAUAAUUAGAGGCUCAUAUUCGAGAUUUGAAUGUGCUGCUGCUGCUAUAAGUUCGAAUGCCUUACUGCUAGGGGUUCGAAGGUGUUGCUGCUAGGGAUUUGAAAAUGCUGCUGAUGGAAGUCGAAAAUGCUGCUGUUAAGAAUGGAAGGUGACGCUGCUAGAGGUUUGAAGGUGUUGAUGUUAGGAGUAGAAGUGACGUUACUAGGGGGUUUGAAAAUGCUGCUAUUAGGAGUGGAAGAUGACGCUGCUAGAGGUUUGAAGGUGUUGAUGUUAGGAGUAGAAGUGACGUUACUAGGGGGUUUGAAAAUGCUGCUAUUAGGAGUGGAAGAUGACGCUGUUAGAGUUUGAAGGUGCUGCUGUUAAGAAUUGAAGGUAACCUGCUUAGAGGUUUGAAGGUGCUGCUGUUAGGAAUUAGUGACAUUGCUAGGGUUUGCAGGUGCUGUUAGGAGUAGAAGUGACGCUGCUAGGGGGGUUUGAAAAUGCUGCUGUUAAGAAAUGAAGGUAGCGCUGCUUGGAGGUUUGAAGGUGCUGCUGUUAGGAAUUAGUGACACUGCUAGGGUUUGCAGAUGCUGUUUAAGAGUUGAAAAGUGAUGCUGUUAGGGGUUUGAACGUGCUGCUGUUAAGAGUUGAAGGUACCGCUACUAAGGGUUCAAAGUUGCUGUUUUUCGGGCGUUCGAUUGUGAUCCUGUUAAUGAGUUCGAAUGUAACUUUAUAUGGGGGAGUCUAAUGUGCUACUGUCAGGGAGUUUAAAUGGUUACUGUUAGAGGUUCCAUCAUGCUGCCGAUUUACUCAGAUACACUUCGAUUCCUCGAUUACUCGCUUUACCGCUAAAUAUUUUUAAUUAUUCCCGUGCAGCAUUAAUACUAGUGUUUAAACAAGCAGUUUUAACUUCGUUACUAGAUACCAAUAUUGAACAUAUGUAUUUACUUAUUCUAUAUGCAUACAAUUUUUAUCUUUGUCUUACCAAAUGCAACAUUUAAUCGCCGUAUCCCGAAGGAACAUAUCGUCAUUAUCUAUAAUGAAACACCGAGGAGGAAGAACGGCGCAGUUUAGUUAAAAUUAAAACGAGCUGUAAUAAUAAUCAAGUAUGCACAGAUAGCUUCAGACAAUCCUUGAACAAUUUGACCUUCUUGCACACAGACAUUAAUAAGCUUCCAGUAAAAAUUAACAUAUGAGAAAUGUGUGCACAUACCCUUUGAACACGAAGAUAUCUACCUGAAUCUUAAAUUAUAUCUAGGCAUCCGUGAUUGCGAUCUGUUUAUUUUAUUGUCGAGUUGAAGAUCAUGUUUUGACCUUCUAAACAAAAGUCA
rnacentral:lncRNA from 1 species